UACGGGGGGGGUAAGCGUUGUUCGGAAUUACUGGGCGUAAAGGGCUCGUAGGCGGCCAACUAAGUCAUACGUGAAAUCCCUCAGCUUAACUGGGGAACUGCGUGUGAUACUGGAUGGCUUGGAUUUGGGAGAGGGAUGCGGAAUUCCAGGUGUAGCGGUGAAAUGCGUAGAGAUCAGGAGGAACACCAAUGGCGAAGGCAGCUCUCUGGCUUCACCCUGACGCUGAGGCGCGAAAGCGUGGGGAGCGAACGGG
rnacentral:rRNA from 1 species